rnacentral:rRNA from 1 species
ACCCGCUGAACUUAAGCAUAUCAAUAAGCGGAGGAAAAGAAACCAACAGGGAUUGCCUCAGUAACGGCGAGUGAAGCGGCAAUAGCUCAGAUUUGAAAUCUGGCCCCCCAUCAGGGGUCCGAGUUGUAAUCUGCAGAGGAUGCUUCGGCGUUGGCGCCGGCCUAAGUCCCUUGGAACAGGGCGUCGCAGAGGGUGAGAAUCCCGUACGCGGCCGGUCGCCCUCGCCGUGUGAAGCUCCUUCGACGAGUCGAGUUGUUUGGGAAUGCAGCUCUAAACGGGAGGUAUAUUUCUUCUAAAGCUAAAUACCGGCCAGAGACCGAUAGCGCACAAGUAGAGUGAUCGAAAGAUGAAAAGCACUUUGGAAAGAGAGUUAAAAAGCACGUGAAAUUGUUGAAAGGGAAGCGCUUGCGACCAGACUUGCCCGCGGGCGGCUUAUCCGAGCCUCUGGCUCGGUGCACUCCCCCGCGGUCAGGCCAGCAUCAGUUCGAGCGACCGGAUAAAGGCCCCGGGAAUGUAGCUCCUCUCGGGGAGUGUUAUAGCCCGGGGUGCAAUGCGGCCAGCUCGGACUGAGGACCGCGCCCCGGCUAGGAUGCUGGCGUAAUGGUCGUCAGCGACCCGUCUUGAAACACGG